rnacentral:rRNA from 1 species
AAUGCACAGGUUGUGAACUCGAAGAGUAGGGCGGGACACGUGGUAUCCUGUCUGAAUAUGGGGGGACCAUCCUCCAAGGCUAAAUACUCCUGACUGACCGAUAGUGAACCAGUACCGUGAGGGAAAGGCGAAAAGAACCCCGGCGAGGGGAGUGAAAAAGAACCUGAAACCGUGUACGUACAAGCAGUGGGAGCCUCUUUAUGGGGUGACUGCGUACCUUUUGUAUA